UACAGAGGGUGCGAGCGUUAAUCGGAAUUACUGGGCGUAAAGCGUGCGUAGACGGUAGCGUAAGUCAGAUGUGAAAGCCCCGGGCUCAACCCAGAGUCUGCUUCCGAAACUGCUGUGCUUGAGUGUGGGAGAGGCGCGUGGAAUUGCAGGUGUAGCGGUGAAAUGCGUAGAUAUCUGCAGGAACACCCGUGGCGAAAGCGGCGCGCUGGACCACUACUGACGCUGAGGAACGAAAGCUAGGGGAGCAAACAGG
rnacentral:rRNA from 1 species